UGGCUCAGUGGUAGAGCGCUUGCCUUACAUGCAUGAGGCCCUGAGUUCGAUUCCUCAG
rnacentral:tRNA from 1 species